GUACAGCACUUUGGUCAACUGUUGUUGUUUUUAAAGGGCUUUAUAAUAAACCUGAACUUGAAACUUGAACUUGAACUGUGGUAAACAGCAAUGCAUCUUCAUGGACCCUCUGGAACUCUGACUCCGACUAAGUUAUAGCCUUCCUACAUGCAGUGUAUAAUUGCUACAUGAGGACUAAUAGUGUCAUAAUGUUGGGAUGCCAUUAUAUCUUGGAGGGGAGAGUGUAAGGACAAGAAGAGUUAAGAGAAGCUACCCCCUGGGAGUACCUGCAUCCAUGAGAAUUUGUGCUCUGAGCAAGCAGUGAGCCCCUCAAGGAUUAAAUGCAAUGCACCUGUUCCAGAUCAGAGAGCAAUCAUUGCGUGUGCAUAUAAGGAUGCUGAACUCAUACAGACUUUGCAAAGUGGUCAAGUGUCUGACCACUUUGAGGGAGUCCUUCACUCCUGAGUUCUCUCCAGAGGCUGACACAUCAACCUCUUUUCCAGAGCUUGCUUCAGAAGUUAGCAGGGUGGCAUCGACUCAAGUUUGGAGAAGUUUAUGAAAAUAUUUCGAUAUGAAAGUCGAGGUGACCACAGCGGUGACCUUUAUCACCACAUGAUUGAGAGGAAGAGGACUUCUGUCAGAAGAACAACUCCGACACUUUGGCUGUUCUCUGGAGGAAGCGUUCGGAAAUCCAGGAUGGACUUGUUUCAAUUAUAGUUCUUACUACAUCUCAACUAAAGAAAAGAGCUGGACUGAGAGCCAACAGGACUG